rnacentral:lncRNA from 1 species
CUCUUUGGUAAGGUGGGAUAUAUUUGGCUGAGUGACUAAAAGAUACUCCUCAAUGUAGCUCGAUCACCAACCUUAUAACAUUCUUAAACCAUACCAUCUUCCACCUCUCACAAAACCAUAUUUUUCAAUACGAGAAAUCAUCACAACUCAACAAUUAUUUCUCAUAACAUUAUGUCUCUCUAAUGCAUCCUAUGUACCCAUUUUUUCAAUUCUUUUGUUCUCUCUUUUCUUUUCUUUUUUUUCUUUUCU